rnacentral:rRNA from 1 species
UUGGAGGGCAAGUCUGGUGCCAGCAGCCGCGGUAAUUCCAGCUCCAAUAGCGUAUAUUAAAGUUGUUGCAGUUAAAAAGCUCGUAGUUGAAUUUCGGGGUCAGUAGGUCGGUCGUGCCACUGGUAUGAACUGGUUUUACUGAUUCCUCCCUCUUGAAGAACUGUAAUGCCAUUAAUUUGGUGUUGCAGGGAAUCAGGACUGUUACUUUGAAAAAAUUAGAGUGUUUAAAGCAGGCUUUAACUUGAAUACAUUAGCAUGGAAUAAUGAAAUAGGACGUUUGAUCCUAUUUUGUUGGUUUCUAGGAUUGACGUAAUGAUUAAUAGGGAUAGUUGGGGGCAUUAGUAUUCAAUUGUCAGAGGUGAAAUUCUUGGAUUUAUUGAAGACUAACUACCGCGAAAGCAUUUGCCAAGGAUGUUUUCAUUAAUCAAGAACGAAAGUUAGGGGAUCGAAGACGAUCAGAUACCGUCGUAGUCUUAACCAUAAACUAUGCCGACUAGGGAUCGGAUGAUGUUAAUUUUUUAAUGACUCAUUCGGCGCCUUACGGGAAAC